AUGCCAGGCCGAGAUGGGAGCCGCACAGCACAGGAGCAUUUCCUCCCUUACUUUGGACACGCGACUCCCGGAGUCGGAAAUCGCAUUAGAAACCUCCUCCCGAGGUUGCUCCGCAUUAAGCUUCGGGGCCGCUUGAAACUAUUCCCCUUGCGCUGGGCCCCUGCGGUCGCGUCAGGCCCCUCCGGGUUGUCCUGCCCACGCCAACCUGUUCUGUGGUUGUCAGAGUCGGGAUUCAGGGCACUCCUGUCUCCCAGGGUCUGGCCCGAUUACCUCCUCGGCCGCCCCGACCCCCUAGGGACAGAGGCUGCCCGGAGCGAGCGGGAGGGCGGCCGUGCAGGUGGCCGUGCAGGUGGCCGUGCAGGUGGCCGGGCAGGUGGCCGGGCAGGGGUGUGGCGGGGGAGCUGCAGGCUGGGUUCCGCGCCCGAGGGCCCCCGGCAGCUCACUCGUUCCCCCCACCCGGGAAGGGCCCUGCCCGGACCCACCCGCCGACGACGGGGACAGACCCUGCGGGAAGUGGGGGCGGCCGUGGCGCGGAGCAGAGCGCAGCGCGGGGUCGCCUGGGGGCUGGGGUGGGGUGGGGAGGGUCGGGGGGUGAGGGGGGUCGGGGAGCGGGGCCCUGACGCGAGCGGCACCGAGCCUUUUGCUUCGCUUUCCGGGAAACGGCCCUCUUCACUCCCGCCGCCUCCCACCCCAGGGCCUUUGCACGCGCGGCGGCCUGCGCGUGGGCCCCUCCCGGCCGCCCCCGCGCCGCCUGCUCGCCGCCCCCCGCCUGCCCGCACUGCAGCGCCCUCGGCCCUUUUAGGCCUUAUGCUCCUGUGCCCGCGCGCUGCCCCUUCCCGGCCGGGGACAUCCCCGAAAGGCGCCCCAUCCCAGCCCCCCGACCUUCUCUAUUCCUCACAGGCUGACGGGGAGGGGGCGGGGAUGACCGGGCACAGGGCAGAUGCUUGGGGGCAGGAGCCAGCGUUCCCGCGGGAGGCUCCGUCGUCGUGUGGAUCCCUUGGUCCAACUCCAGUAAAAAAUAUACAAAAAUAA
rnacentral:lncRNA from 1 species